ACGGCUCAGUAACACGUGGACAACCUAACCUAUGGAGGGGGAUAACCCGGGAAACUGGGGAUAAUACCCCAUAGACUAUGGAUGCUGGAAUGCUCUGUAGUUGAAAGGUCCGCCGCCAUAGGAUGGGUCUGCGGCCGAUUAGGUUGUUGUUGGGGUAACGGCCCAACAAGCCUGUAAUCGGUACGGGUUGUGGGAGCAAGAGCCCGGAGAUGGAUUCUGAGACACGAAUCCAGGCCCUACGGGGCGCAGCAGGCGCGAAAACUUUACAAUGCGGGAAACCGUGAUAAGGGAACUCCGAGUGCCCGUAAAAUCGGGCUGUCCAUCUGUUUAAAUAACAGGUGAAGAAAGGGCCGGGCAAGACCGGUGCCAGCCGCCGCGGUAAUACCGGCGGCUCGAGUGGUGGCCACUAUUACUGGGCUUAAAGCGUUCGUAGCUGGUUUGUUAAGUCUCUGGGGAAAUCUGCCGGCUCAACCGGCAGGCGUUCCAGGGAUACUGGCAGACUAGGGACCGGGAGAGGUGAGGGGUACUCCAGGGGUAGGAGUGAAAUCCUGUAAUCCUUGGGGGACCACCUGUGGCGAAGGCGCCUCACCAGAACGGCUCCGACAGUGAGGGACGAAAGCUGGGGGAGCAAACCGGAUUAGAUACCCGGGUAGUCCCAGCCGUAAACGAUGCGCGUUAGGUGUAUCGGUGACCACGAGUCACCGAGGUGCCGAAGAGAAAU
rnacentral:rRNA from 1 species